CACGCCACGGUAAUACGUAUGUCACAAGCGUUAUCCGGAUUUAUUGGGCGUAAAGCGCGUCUAGGUGGUUAUGUAAGUCUGAUAUGAAAAUGCAGGGCUCAACUCUGUAUUGCGUUGGAAACUGUGUAACUAGAGUACUGGAGAGGUAAGCGGAACUACAAGUGUAGAGGUGAAAUUCGUAGAUAUUUGUAGGAAUGCCGAUGGGGAAGCCAGCUUACUGGACAGAUACUGACGCUGAAGCGCGAAAGCGUGGGUAGCAAACAGGAUUAGAUACCCCUGUAGUCCCUGUCUCUUAUACACA
rnacentral:rRNA from 1 species